CCUGAUUGUAUUUAAACCCUUUGUUUCCCUCAGUUCUGUGCUCUGUGUUUGUAUGUUAGCACCCUGCCCUAGUGUUCUGUGUGCUCUUGUCGACGGGUAACGUUCUUGUGGUAUUCUGUUUUUUGUUUUAGUUUAGUUUUGGUGAGUUUCUUUUUAGAUCUUUUUGUGUUUUUCCUUCCACCUUUUGGAUUUGCCAUUUUUAUUUUUAGGAUUUUUUCUUCAUUAAAUACACCGUCUUAAAUACUGCUGUGUCUGCCUCAUCUUCUGGGUUCUGCUGUCUAUUCGUGGCUCAGUUGGGUAAGUGACUGUUUCUCACUCCGGAGACCCAGGUUCGAAACCGGGUCCUGACAUAGGUGACAUUUUAAAUAAAGGGGCGGAUCCUUAAUUCAAUGUCCAUUUCUCAUUUUUGCUUUAUUUCUCUCUUCAUACAUUUAGAGGAUUGUAAUAGUUAUAAAUGUAUGUUAUUGUCAUGUUCAAGCCUCAAAAUCAGAUAAUUAGAUUAUAAACAAUUGUACCAUUGCAUUGUUUAAUACUCAUUUUUGAUUGGCUUGAAUUGCAUUCUAGAGCGUGCAUUAUUUCCCUAUAUCGCACGGUAUAAUUGCUUGGUGUAAUUCAAUGACUUUGAAGCUCAUUCUUACAUGUUUUAUUUUUUAGCUGCUUUUGAAAGCAAACAUAAAAUUGAAAACAUUUAAUGGUAUCGUUGAAUUCGACUUUCAUAAUAGUAAGCAAGAAUGAUGGUUUGGUUAGCUGAGCUAGCAAUUUUUUAUAUUUUUUAUUACCAAGACAACUACUGUACUGUAGCUAUUUAGCUAGCUAUACUUGCUAGCUACUUCAGUGGCUUUUGGGACUUUUCUAUUGGCAAAUGAAUACAUUCUAGAGGCAAAUAUGUUAAUUUAUAGCCAUGGUAUGAAAGGAAUAAUCAAUUCAGGGCUCUGUGCGUUCUCCGGAAAAUAAUGCAACUCCACGAUGCGUUAGCAGACCUUCCACAUCGUGCACUAUAUUCCAAAGAAUACAAUUCAGGCAUGUUAACCUCCUCCGCUGAUGCUAGAGAGAGUGGAUGUCAGUGUUAUGGAGCUCUGGGAGGUACUGUCUAUCUCCAGCUGACUGAUACCAGGGGAUAUACAUUCUUAUUAUAAAAUACCCCAAUGAUAAAGCUACAGACACAGUCAACAUUUUAAAUUAUUUAGUGAGAAUGCAUGACUCCAUUAAAGCUAGAUCAGAGUUCUUCAUGAACGAGACAUUUAGGAUGACUAACACAGGACGGAUUCUGAUGAAUACCUCUUAGAAACAUUUCAUUCUAAUGGAAGUUCAUUGGCCACCAGAAGACUACACCUGUUCAUUGAAGGUAAAGGGCUAUCUCAACAACAACAAAAAUACAUAUGACUAUUAGCUUCCAAAGAAAUAUACAGUCAUUUGAUACAUAAUGUAGAUAUUUGUUUUGUCUGUUUGCUGAAGUUGCCUUAUUCCCCACAGCUCCAGUGUUAUUCCCAUGGAGAGAUGAGUGUGUCCUGCUCCUCUGCGGGGGACGGUAGUGUAACAGUACAGCUGAACUCUGGAUGGACAGAUACUGAGAGACACUGAGACCUCUCCUGGUGAAGAGACAAACACCGUCACUCUGAAGAAAGGCCUGUCAGGAGAUCUCACCUGUACCGUCAGAAACAACAUCAACAGGUGUCCAGGACCAGGACCCACUCCAAAAGGCUUUCGGAGCCAUCAUCGACUCAGUGGGUUUUGUCCAACAUGUCUCUGGACCUUCUCACUGUCACAGUCAUAAUCUGGACCUAGUUUUGUCCCAUGGAAUAAAUGUUGUGGAUCUUAAUGUUUUUCCUCAUAAUCCUGGACUAUCGGACCACCAUUUUAUUACGUUAGCAAUUGCAACAAAUAAUCUGCUCAGACCCCAACCAAGGAACAUCAAAAGUCGUGCUAUAAAUUCACAGACAACACAAAGAUUCCUUGAUGUCCUUCCAGACUCCCUCUGUUUAGCCAAGGACGCCAGAGGACAAAAAUCAGUUAACCACCUAACUGAGGAACUGAAUUUAACCUUGCGCAAUACCCUAGAUGCAGUUGCACCCCCUAAACACUAAAAACAUUUCUCAUAACAAACGAGCUUCCUGGUACACAGAAAAUACCCGAGCUCUGAAGCAAGCUUCCAGAAAAUUGGAAUGGAAAUGGCGCCACACCAAAAUGGAAGUGUUCUGACUAGCUUGGAAAGACAGUACCGUGCAGUAUCGAAGAGCCCUUAAUGCUGCUCGAUCAUCCUAUUUUUCCAACUUAAUUGACGAAAAUAAGAACAAUCCGAAAUUCCUUUUUGAUACUGUCGCAAAGCUAACUAAAAAGCAGCAUUCCCCAAGAGAGGAUGACUUUCACUUUAGCAGUGAUAAAUUCAUGAACUUCUUUGAGGAAAAAAUCAUGAUUAUUAGAAAGCAAAUUACGAACUCCUCUUUAAAUCUGCGUAUCCCUUCAAAGCUCAGUUGUCCUGAGUCUGCACAACUCUGCCAGGACAUAGGAUCAAGAGAGACACUCUAUAUAUCUAUAUAUCUCUUGACACAAUGAUGAAAAUGAUCAUGGCCUCUAAACCUUCAAGCUGCAUACUGGACCCUAUUCCAACUAAACUACUGAAAGAGCUGCUUCCUGAGCUUGGCCCUCCUAUGUUGAACAUAAUAAACAACUAUUUUUCCACCAGAUGUGUACCAAACUCACUAAAAGUUGCAGUAAUAAAGCCUCUCUUGAAAAAACCAAACCUUGACCCAGAAAAUAUAAAAAACAAUCGGCCUAUAUCAAAUCUUCCAUUCCUCUCAAAUUGUUUUAGAAAAGGCUUCCUGAAGACAAACAAUGUAUACAAAAUCCUUCAGUCUGGUUUUAGACCCCAUCAUAGCACUGAGACUGCACUUGUGAAGGUGGUUAAUGACCUUUUAAUCGCAUCAGACCGAGGCUCUGCAUCUGACCUGGUGCUCCUAGAUCUUAGUGCUGCUUUUGAUACCAUCGAUCACCACAUUCUUUUGGAGAGAUUGGAAACCAAAUUGGUCUACACGGACAAGUUCUGGCCUGGUUUAGAUCUUAUCUGUCAAAGAUAUCAGUUUGUCUCUGUGAAUGGUUUGUCCUCUGACAAAUCAACUGUACAUUUCGGUGUUCCUCAAGGUUCCGUUUUAGGACCACUAUUGUUUUCACUAUAUAAUUUACCUCUUGGGGAUGUCAUUUGAAAACAUAAUGUUAACUUUCACUGCUAUGUGGAUGACACACAGCUGUACAUUUCAAUGACACACGUGAAGCCCCAAAAUUGCCCUCGCUAGAAGCCUGUGUUUCAGACAUAAGGAAGUGGAUGGCUGCAAACUUUCUACUUUUAAACUGGGACAAAACAGAUAUGCUUAUUCUAGGUCCCAAGAAACAAAGAUCUUCUGUUGAAUCUGACAAUUAAUCUUAAUGGAUGUACAGUCGUCUCAAAUAACACUGUGAAGGACCUCGAUGUUACUCUGGACCAUGAUCUCUCUUUUGACGAACAUAUCAAGACUGUUUCAAGGACAGCUUUUUUCCAUCUACGUAACAUUGCAAAAAUCAGAAACCUUCUGUCCAAAAAUGAUGCAGAAAAAUUAAUCCAUGCUUUUGUUACUUCUAGGUUAGACUACUGCAAUGCUCUCCUUUCCGGCUACCCGGAUAAAGCACUAAAUGAACUUCAGUUAGUGCUAAUAACGGCUGCUAGAAUCCUGACUAGAACCAAAAAUAAAUCUUAUUUUUCCAGUGCUAGCCUCCCUACACUGGCUUUCUUUCAAGGCAAGGGCUGAUUUCAAGGUUUUACUGCUAACCUACAAAGUGUUACAUGGGCUUGCUCCUACCUACCUCUCUGAUUUGGUCCUGCCGUACAUACCUACACGUACGCUACAGUCACAAGACGCAGGCCUCCUAAUUGUCCCUAGAAUUUCUAAGCAAACAGCUGGAGGCAGGGCUUUCUCCUAUAGAGCUCCAUUUUUAUGGAAUGGUCUGCCUACCCAUGUGAGAGAGGUAAACUCGGUCUCAACCUUUAAGUCUUUACUGAAGACUCAUCUCUUCAGUGGGUCAUAUGAUUGAGUGUAGUCUGGCCCAGGAGUGUGAAGGUGAACGGAAAGGCUCUGGAGCUAAGAACCACCCUUGCUGUCUCUGCCUGGCCGGUUCCCCUCUUUCCACUUGGAUUCUCUGCCUCUAACCCUAUUACAGGGGCUGAGUCACUGGCUUGCUGGUGCUCUUUCAUGUCGUUCCUGGGAGGGGUGCGUCACUUGAGUGGGUUGAGUCACUGAUGUGAUCUUUCUGUCUGGGUUGGCGCCCCCUUUGGGUUGUGCCCUGGUGGAGAUCUUUGUGGGCUAUACUCGGCCUUGUCUCAGGAUGGUUAGUUGAAGAUAUCCCUCUAGUGGUGUGGGGGCUGUGCUUUGACAAAGUGGGUGGGGUUAUAUCCUUCCUGUUUGGCCCUGUCCGAGGGGUAUCAUCGGAUGGGGCCACAGUGUCUCCUGACCCCUCCUGUCUCAGCCUCCAAUAUUUAUGCUGCAGUAGUUUAUGUGUUGGGGGCUAGGGUCAGUUUGUUAUAUCUGGAGUACUUCUCCUGUCCUAUCUGGUGUCCUGUGUGAAUUAUUGGUAUUAUUUUUCUUUAUUUUGAAUUUUUCCCCGUUUUCUCCCCAAUUUCGUGGUGUCCAAUUGUUUAGUAGCUACUAUCUUGUCUCAUCGCUACAACUACCGUACGGGCUCGGGAGAGACGAAGGUUGAAAGUCAAGUGUCCUCCGAUACACAACCAAGCCGCACUGCUUCUUAACACAGCGGUCAUCCAACCCGGAAGUCAGCCGCACCAAUGUGUCGGAGGAAACACCGUGCACCUGGCAACCUUCCCUAACCCGUACGACGCUAGGCCAAUUGUGCUUCGCCCAACAGAUCUCCUGGUCGCGGCCGGUUACGACAGAGCCUGGCCGCAAACCCAGAGUCUCUGGUGGCACAGCUGGCGCUGCAAUACAGCGCCCUUAACCACUGCGUCACUCGGGAGGCCCAUCCUGUGUGAAUUUAAGUAUGUUCUCUCUUUCUUUCUCUCUCUCAGAGGACCUGAGCCCUAGGACCAUGCAUCAGGACGACCUGGCAUGAUGACUCCAUGCUGUACCCAGUCCACCUGGCCCUGCUGCUGCUCCAGUUUCAACUGUUCUGCCUGUGAUUAUUAUUAUUUGAUCAUGCUGGUCAUUUAUGAACAUUUGAACAUCUUGGCCAUGUUACAUUAUAAUCUCCACCCGGCUCAGCCAGAAGAGGACUGGACACCCCACAUAGCCUGGUUCCUCUCUAGGUUUCUUCCUAGGUUUUGGCCUUUCUAGGGAGUUUUUCCUAGCCACCGUGCUUCUACACCUGCAUAGCUUGCUGUUUGGGGUUUUAGGCUGGGUUUCUGUAAAGCACUUUGAGAUAUCAGCUGAUGUACGAAGGGCUAUAUAAAUACAUUUGAUUUGAUAUGUGUUGGCCACUGUGGAUUCACUAUACAGUACAAUUCCAAAACUCAGAUUCCAAACUAAAUCAACCUGCCACAUCGUGUGACUAGGAUGUUUAUUAAGAAAAACACGCUAUAGAUUGAUUGUGUAUUUCAGGAAUGAAAAAGGAAGUGUUUGAACACAGUCUUGAUCUCACUUCUUUAUUUCACAGACAAAUGCAUGAAUAUGUUAUAAACAAUAAGGCAUUAAAUAAGACAGAACAAAGAAGUAAGAUACACCACACACACGUGAACAAGAGAUCUUGAGACUAGAUUUGCAUGAGGGCUAAAAGAGGAAAUGUGAUACAGAAGACAUUUUCACACUACAUUUAGUCUGUGAGAACUUUGUAUUUCUGCAACAAAGACCGAGCCCUGUGGUAGGUCCAUGUGAAUUCUAUACUGUAUGUUAUUGAGUAAAUACUAUGCCCUUUAUACAGCUGUGUCUGUUAGUGUUUCUCUGACACUAACUCGAUCUCAUGUGCUAGUUUAACUGUUGCAAGAAAGGUUGAAAAACAAUGUUACACCACACAGGCCAUGUCUUUAAUGUGAACCUCCUAAUGGUGGCCUUGUGUGGGGAAAUGUUUUACCAUAGAAAAUCAAGGUGAGAGUGUGUAUUAAUAGACCUUUUGUUUGUGAACUGAAUUAACGUUGAGGGCCACAGAAAAUGUUACGGCAGGUCCGAUAUGUUCCCCUGGAUGCUAUUGUUAAUGAAGGGAUGAUGCCUCUA